rnacentral:rRNA from 1 species
UACAGAGGUCUCAAGCGUUGUUCGGAUUCAUUGGGCGUAAAGGGUGCGUAGGCGGCGCGGUAAGUCGGGUGUGAAAUCUCGGAGCUUAACUCCGAAACUGCAUUCGAUACUGCCGUGCUUGAGGACUGGAGAGGAGACUGGAAUUUACGGUGUAGCGGUGAAAUGCGUAGAUAUCGUAAGGAAGACCAGUGGCGAAGGCGGGUCUCUAGUACGGUACUGACGCUGAGACGCGAAAGCGUGGGGAGCGAACAGG